GAUGAAGAACGUAGCGAAAUGCGAUACGUAGUGUGAAUUGCAGAAUUCAGUGAAUCAUCGAAUCUUUGAACGCACAUUGCACCUCUCGGUAUUCCGGGAGGUAUGCCUGUUCGAGCGUCAUUUGUACCCUCAAGCUCUGCUUUGUGUUGGGUGUUUGUUCCGCCUCUGUGUGUGAACUCGCCUCAAAACAAUUGGCAGCCGGCGUACUUGUUUCGGAGCGCAGCACAUUUUGCGAUCCAGAUCAACGUACAGCGGCAUCCAAGAAGCCUUAUUUAACGCUCUUGACCUCGGAUCAGGUAGGGAUACCCGCUGAACUUAAGCAUAUCAAUAAGCGGAGGA
rnacentral:misc_RNA from 1 species